AGCGAACGCUGGCGGCAGGCCUAACACAUGCAAGUCGAACGAACUCUUCGGAGUUAGUGGCGGACGGGUGAGUAACACGUGGGAACGUGCCUUUAGGUUCGGAAUAACUCAGGGAAACUUGUGCUAAUACCGAAUGUGCCCUUCGGGGGAAAGAUUUAUCGCCUUUAGAGCGGCCCGCGUCUGAUUAGCUAGUUGGUGAGGUAAAGGCUCACCAAGGCGACGAUCAGUAGCUGGUCUGAGAGGAUGAUCAGCCACAUUGGGACUGAGACACGGCCCAAACUCCUACGGGAGGCAGCAGUGGGGAAUCUUGCGCAAUGGGCGAAAGCCUGACGCAGCCAUGCCGCGUGAAUGAUGAAGGUCUUAGGAUUGUAAAAUUCUUUCACCGGGGACGAUAAUGACGUUACCCGGAGAAGAAGCCCCGGCUAACUUCGUG
rnacentral:rRNA from 1 species